rnacentral:ncRNA from 1 species
AAUGAACCAUUGACGAGGAAUAGUAAUAGCGGAUUCUAGAUGCUUAGAGAGAGUUGCCAUAGGCUGGAAGUAGCUCCAUCUACCGAUAUGAAUGAACACCUUUGAGGAUUUUUUCCUGAAACACUAGUAGGGAAAAACGUAGCUGGCGUUAACAGAUUAAGAGGAGACGCAGUCUCAAAUUUGGGUGGCACCACGGGUUCAACUCUCGUCCCAGAU